rnacentral:rRNA from 1 species
UACGGAGGGGGCUAGCGUUGUUCGGAAUUACUGGGCGUAAAGCGCACGUAGGCGGCUUUGUAAGUUAGAGGUGAAAGCCCAGGGCUUAACCCUGGAAUUGCCUUUAAGACUGCAUCGCUAGAAUCGUGGAGAGGUGAGUGGAAUUCCGAGUGUAGAGGUGAAAUGCGUAGAUAUCGGGAGGAACACCAGUGGCGAAGGCGAUCAUCUGGGGCUGACCUGACGCUGAGGAGCGAAAGCCAGGGGAGCAAACGGG